AGUGGCGAACGGGUGAGUAACACGUGAGCAACCUGCCCUUGACACUGGGAUAAGCGAUUGAAAAGUCGUCUAAUACCGGAUAUGACUUUCACAGGCAUCUGUGAGGGUGGAAGUGCUCCGGCGGUCAAGGAUGGGCUCGCGGCCUAUCAGCUUGUUGGUGAGGUAACGGCUCACCAAGGCUUCGACGGGUAGCCGGCCUGAGAGGGCGACCGGCCACACUGGGACUGAGAUACGGCCCAGACUCCUACGGGAGGCAGCAGUGGGGAAUAUUGCGCAAUGGGCGAAAGCCUGACGCAGCAACGCCGCGUGCGGGAUGACGGCCUUCGGGUUGUAAACCGCUUUCAGCAGGGACGAAGGGUUUCUGACGGUACCUGCAGAAGAAGCACCGGCCAACUACGUGCCAGCAGCCGCGGUGAUACGUAGGGUGCGAGCGUUGUCCGGAAUUAUUGGGCGUAAAGAGCUUGUAGGCGGUUUGUCACGUCGGAAGUGAAAACUCAGGGCUUAACCCUGAGCCUGCUUCCGAUACGGGCAGACUAGAGGAAGGUAGGGGAGAAUGGAACUCCUGGUGGAGCGGUGGAAUGCGCAGAUAUCAGGAAGAACACCGGUGGCGAANGCGGUUCUCUGGACCUUUCCUGACGCUGAGAAGCGAAAGCGUGGGGAGCAAACAGGCUUAGAUACCCUGGUAGUCCACGCCGUAAACGGUGGGCACUAGGUGUGGGACUCAUUCCACGAGUUNCGUGCCGUANCUAACGCAUUAAGUGCCCCGCCNGGGGAGUACGGCCGCAAGGCUAAAACUCAAAGGAAUUGACGGGGGCCCGCACAAGCGGCGGANCAUGUGGNUUAAUUCGAUGC
rnacentral:rRNA from 1 species